rnacentral:rRNA from 1 species
AGAGUUUGAUCAUGGCUCAGGAUGAACGCUGGCGGCGUGCUUAACACAUGCAAGUCGAACGAUGAUGGGAGCUUGCUCCUGGAUUAGUGGCGAACGGGUGAGUAACACGUGAGUAACCUGCCCUUAACUCUGGGAUAAGCCUGGGAAACUGGGUCUAAUACCGGAUAUGACUCCUCAUCGCAUGGUGGGGGGUGGAAAGCUUUAUUGUGGUUUUGGAUGGACUCGCGGCCUAUCAGCUUGUUGGUGAGGUAAUGGCUUACCAAGGCGACGACGGGUAGCCGGCCUGAGAGGGUGACCGGCCACACUGGGACUGAGACACGGCCCAGACUCCUACGGGAGGCAGCAGUGGGGAAUAUUGCACAAUGGGCGCAAGCCUGAUGCAGCGACGCCGCGUGAGGGAUGACGGCCUUCGGGUUGUAAACCUCUUUCAGUAGGGAAGAAGCGAAAGUGACGGUACCUGCAGAAGAAGCGCCGGCUAACUACGUGCCAGCAGCCGCGGUAAUACGUAGGGCGCAAGCGUUAUCCGGAAUUAUUGGGCGUAAAGAGCUCGUAGGCGGUUUGUCGCGUCUGCCGUGAAAGUCCGGGGCUCAACUCCGGAUCUGCGGUGGGUACGGGCAGACUAGAGUGAUGUAGGGGAGACUGGAAUUCCUGGUGUAGCGGUGAAAUGCGCAGAUAUCAGGAGGAACACCGAUGGCGAAGGCAGGUCUCUGGGCAUUAACUGACGCUGAGGAGCGAAAGCAUGGGGAGCGAACAGGAUUAGAUACCCUGGUAGUCCAUGCCGUAAACGUUGGGCACUAGUGUGGGGGACAUUCCACGUUUUCCGCGCCGUAGCUAACGCAUUAAGUGCCCCGCCUGGGGAGUACGGCCGCAAGGCUAAACUCAAUGAAUUGACGG